rnacentral:lncRNA from 1 species
UACUGAACCAGUGAUAGAGCACAAAGUGAAGGGGCAUAGCCAGAUCUGGAAGCAGAGGUGGGAGCAAUUCAGCUGUGUGACAGGAACGGGUGGACCCAGGGCCCACUCCUCCCUAACCUCAUUGAAGAGCUGGCAGUCACAAAAGAAGUAGCUCUACCUGGAGAUUGCCUCCUUUGGAGUGUUUGGCAAGCCCAGAUCCUUGGAAAGGGGAGAAAACCUUCUGGAAAACUGAAGACCCUUCUGGUCCAGUUUCCAGGAAUAAUAUGAUUUCUUGAGAAC